rnacentral:rRNA from 1 species
UACGGAGGGCGCUAGCGUUGUUCGGAAUUACUGGGCGUAAAGAGCUCGUAGGUGGUUUGUCGCGUUGUCCGUGAAAACUCACAGCUCAACUGUGGGCGUGCGGGCGAUACGGGCAGACUGGAGUACUGCAGGGGAGACUGGAAUUCCUGGUGUAGCGGUGGAAUGCGCAGAUAUCAGGAGGAACACCGGUGGCGAAGGCGGGUCUCUGGGCAGUAACUGACGCUGAGGAGCGAAAGCGUGGGGAGCGAACAGG